rnacentral:pre_miRNA from 1 species
AAUAAGCGCAGCCAUGAGUUUUCGUGUCCAACUUUAAUCGUUCGUCUUAUUUAAUAUUUUUUUAAAAAAAUACAAAAACAUAUGUAUUCAUAUUUUAUAAUCUAAUAACAAUAAAAAUACUAAUCAUAAAAAAAUUUUAAAUAAGACGGAAGAUAAAAAUUGGACACGGAAACUCAUGGUUGCGCUUAUU